rnacentral:rRNA from 1 species
GUUGGUGGAGUAAAAUCCAUGAGUAACGCAGCUAACGCGUGAAAGUAGACCGCCUGGGGAGUACGGUCGCAAGAUUAAAACUCAAAUGAAUUGACGGGGGCCCGCACAAGCGGUGGAUUAUGUGGAUUAAUUCGAUGCAACGCGAAAAACCUUACCUGGCCUUGACAUGUAACGAACUUUCCAGAGAUGGAUUGGUGCUCGAAAGAGAGCGUUAACACAGGUGCUGCAUGGCUGUCGUCAGCUCGUGUCGUGAGAUGUUGGGUUAAGUCCCGCAACGAGCGCAACCCUUGCCAUUAAUUGCCAUCAUUUAGUUGGGCACUUUAAUGGGACUGCCGGUGACAAACCGGAGGAAGGUGGGGAUGACGUCAAGUCCUCAUGGCCCUUAUGGCCAGGGCUUCACACGUAAUACAAUGGUCGGUACAGAGGGUUGCCAAGCCGCGAGGUGGAGCCAAUCCCAGAAAGCCGAUCGUAGUCCGGAUUGUAGUCUGCAACUCGACUACA